rnacentral:rRNA from 1 species
UACGUAGGGGGCUAGCGUUGUCCGGAAUCAUUGGGCGUAAAGAGCGUGUAGGCGGUCCGGUAAGUCCGCUGUGAAAGUCGGGGGCUCAACCCUCGAAUGCCGGUGGAUACUGUCGGGCUAGAGUGCGGAAGAGGCGAGUGGAAUCCUGGUGUAGCGGUGAAAUGCGCAGAUAUCAGGAGGAACACCUAUUGCGAAGGCAGCUCGCUGGGACGUAACUGACGCUGGAGACGCGAAAGCGUGGGGAGCAAACAGG